rnacentral:rRNA from 1 species
CCUACGGGAGGCAGCAGUGGGGGAUAUUGCACAAUGGGGGGAACCCUGAUGCAGCGACGCCGCGUGGGUGAAGAAGCGCCUCGGCGCGUAAAGCCCUGUCAGCAGGGAAGAAAAUGACGGUACCUGAAGAAGAAGCCCCGGCUAACUACGUGCCAGCAGCCGCGGUAAUACGUAGGGGGCAAGCGUUAUCCGGAUUUACUGGGUGUAAAGGGGGCGCAGACGGCGAUGCAAGCCAGGAGUGAAAGCCCGGGGCCCAACCCCGGGACUGCUUUUGAAACGGUUGAACUAGAUUGCAGGAGAGGUAAGUGGAAUUCCUAGUGUAGCGGUGAAAUGCGUAGAUAUUAGGAGGAACACCAGUGGCGAAGGCGGCUUACUGGACUGUAAAUGACGCUGAGGCUCGAAAGCGUGGGGAGCAAACAGGAUUAGAUACCCGGGUAGUC